GAUAUCGAUAUAUAUAAGAUUCGGCCCGGCCGUAUUUAGCACGAUCUUUCUUGUUUAGAUUGUUAAAUGCUUGAAAUUAAAUUUUUAAUUGGCCUAUAAAAUAGUUCUCUACAAUUUGUUGUGCCCUUUUUAUCGUUAAUUACUUAAAAUUGUCGUGCAGAAUAUAGUUAAAAUUGUUGCCACAAGUAUUAUUUUUCGACAACAAUAUUUUUGCUAUAAAAGCCAUUCGAAGCACCUUGAAAAUCAUUCAGUUUUCUUUGGAUAUCCAAGCAAAAAACUAACUCUUUAUAAAAGUCCAAAAUGAAAUUCUACGCCACCAUUGCUGUAGCUAUCAUGAGUGUCUUGGCAUUUGCUUCUGCCAAUCCUGAACCGAUUUUGCAGGCAAUAAGUGGUUUAACUGAUAAUCUUGGCAAGUAAAAGUUUGCCAACAUUUUUGUCUCCAAUUUGAUACUGAUGAACGAGUAAGUGGAAAAUGGCAAAGGAAUAAGCAAAAUAUUAUUGGGAAAUCGUAUUGGGAUUCACUUCAUUGCAAUGAAAGCCAAUAAAAAUACUAGCACCGCAGAAUAUUAAAAUA